ensembl:lncRNA
CGUUGUUAUUAAUCGAAUUGUUAAGCUUCAGAGUGAAUGAGGAAGUGGUCAGAAGGUCACUCGGGUUUAAAUCUGAACACCUGCUCUGAUCCGAGGUCUAAUCUGAGCUUCUCUGUAGUGGCUGGAUGGAACCUGAGUCCUGCUGUGAUCAGGUCUACACACAAUGUGGAUGUUUUCCACACCGUGCUUUAUAUUUACCCUCUGCAGCAGAUGGCGGAAGGAGACGGAGUUAAACACACUGACCUGUCCACAACCUGAACCUUCUCUCUCUGUCUGUUUCUGUCUCUCUCUUAUAUCCUUCCGUCUUUCUCUCGGUCUCUCUACAUCCGUGUCUCGCUCUGUCUCUAUCUCUCUCCGUCUUUCUCUCUGUCUCUCUACAUCAGUGUCUCGCUCUGUCUCUGUCUCUCCUCCGUCUUUCUCUCUGUCUCUCUACAUCCGUGUCUCGCUCUGUCUCUAUCUCUCUCCAUCUUUCUCUCUGUCUCUCUACAUCCGUGUCUCGCUCUGUCUCUAUCUCUCUCCGUCUUUCUCUCUGUCUCUCUCGGUCUCUCUACAUCCGUGUCUCGCUCUGUCUCUAUCUCUCUCCGUCUUUCUCUCUGUCUCUCUACAUCCGUGUCUCGCUCUGUCUCUAUCUCUCUCCGUCUUUCUCUCUGUCUCUCUCGUCUUUCUCUCUGUCUCUCUCGGCCUCUCUACAUCCGUGUCUCGCUCUGUCUCUAUCUCUCUCCGUCUUUUCUCUCCGUCUCUCUCUCUCUCUACAUCUCUCUGCGCGUCUCUCUCCGUCUCUCUCCAUGUCUCUCUCUGUCUCUUUCGCUCUCCCUCACGCUGUCUCUCUCAUUCCGUCUCUGCCCGUCUCUCUCUCUCUCUGUAUAUAUCUCUGUCUGUGUCUCGAUCUCUAUCUCUUUCAGUCUCUCUCACACCAUCUCCCAGUGUGUCUGCGUGCCUCUCUCUCUGUCUUUGCUUCUCUCUCUUUUUCCAUCUCUUUCUCUCUCAGUCUCUCUGUGAGUCUGUCUCCCUCUCUCUGUCUCGCUAAUAAGUAAACGUCCCAUACGGAAAAAAAAAAAAAUUCCACCACAUCAACGAUAAUAUGUAUUUUUUUCUUCUUCUUAGUGAUAGAUUAAGUGGAGCGUCCGCGGCGUACGAGCUGUUACUAUAGAAGUGAUAACGUAUCAGAACAUGCGCAUGAAUAUAAACCUGUCGCUCGUGGUACAGCUGGAACUACUUUCCCAGUCGUGGUUUAAUGAAUAAUCAUCAGUUCCUCCAUGUUGUUUGUCAGAAAGAACGACGUUCGUUUUGUUUAUUUUGAGUCUCACUCUUCCAGUGUUUACUCCGGACGACCAAAGCGUUAACCGCCACAGGAACUGAAAUCCUGUCCCUUUUUCAACAUCUCCUGUUUCCCCAAUCGCAUUAUACAAUCAAUCCACUCCUGGAUACCGUUUACAUGUGUAUCUGGGAGUGAGUGAGAUGCCGUGAUCUACUGUAUUACAGCCGAUCUCAGAGAUGUGUAGUACCGUAUCUCUGACCUGUUACAGACGAAUUAGGAAACACAGUACGCGAGUAAGAACAGGAGGAUGGGAUGGGUGUAGAAGACUGAAAAAUGGAGGGGGGGAAAAAGAUCUCUAUUUAAGAUAAGCAAACAAGACGAGGAGAUCAGGAGAAAAAAGAAAGUUGACGCCAAAUCGAAUCCUCUCUGAAAAGGAACGUGUGUAAAGCUAGCCGGUGCGUCGCGCGCUUCGUCUUUAACAGUCGGUUCUCGGGAACAAUGCAGCGACGCUUCUCCGCAGCAAUAAAUCUUCGCCCUAGAACUGACAACAUUCUAACCCGGCGCUCCUGCCCGAUGCGCCGUCAUGAGACUGCGGCUCGCGCUUGGAUCGCACUGACAUAUCUGAGACCUUCUGCGCAGCGUGGAGCUCUGACAGGCCGAGCGACUCGCUAUCGUGUUACAGCAGGAUCCUCUGGCAUUCGCCUCGAUGAUGAGAGUGAGAACACCGAACGGUGAAUAUACGCAGGCUGGUGUGUGUGUGCCGGUGAAGCUGGUGUUACACCCCCUGACAAGCCUGAGAAAACAAGGAGCGUCUGAAUUCUCCUGCUCUUACAGCACACACACACACACACAAUCAGACCUUAAGAACGUUUUUUUUUGUGUGAUGUGCAGGUGCGCUAGUGUCAGUGCUGCUGUCAUAGAAAAUGAAUCAACACCUUCUGACCAAUCAGAUUUGAGAGUUCAACAGCGCUCUUCUGACAGUGAAAUCAUUUAAGACUUGUGCGAGACAAAGCUAUUUGAACUACUUGCAGGACUUAAGGCGUGUUGUCGUCAUGGUUACGCUGAGACUACACACCACUCCUGAAUUUUUUGUGUAAAUUCGGUUAUCUUGUGGACUAAAAAAAACCGCAAGGGGUGUGUAAACUUAUGAGCGCAACUAUACAUGUGCGUAAAAUUUUUUUUUUUUUUUUUUUGGGGAUUACAGGCAGCAUGUCAUCCAAAAUCUACAAUUUAUAGCAUUUAAAAAAAAAAAAAAAAAAAUCUCUGAAAAGCAUGUCUCCCCUUUGAAGAAUUUCGCCGUCACAAUAGGUCAAAGGUCAGAUGUUUCCGUCAUGUAGUAAGAGUGGUGUGGGUAAACAGCGUCCGGCCGAGCCGCUCUGAGCAUACUCUGGCACAGUGAGGCGUGGGUAUGGGUUACACAUACCUCACAGCCCUGAAGACGAGCUCGGCCACGCCCUGCAGACUCACAAAUACCCACGCCGGGUUACAUUCCGUCACUCGGGAUGUAUUUUGAAAUAAUAUUCUCUUCGUGCUCAUGACCCCCGGUUUUGGGACGCGUUUUAAUAACGAGUGUUGCUGAGCGGCUAUAACUGUAUCUGCUGCAUGCCUUCAGUCCGAAUAACAACACCGGCAUGGGCAUCGUGUGACGCUCAGACGAUACACGCGUACUGUAGCUGAAGAGACACCAACCCUCAGUCCUUCACUUCUAAUCGAACACCUCAGUGAAAGUAAAACUCAUAACGUAUACCGUAGAGAUGAUGAUUUACCAUCACGGCAUGAACUACUGCUGUAAAUGUUAUCAUCCUUACAUCAUCAUCAUCAUCAUCAUCAUCAUUACAUCAUCAUCAUCAUCAUCAUCAUCAUCCUUACAUCAUCAUCAUCAUUACAUCAUCAUCCUUACAUCAUCAUCAUCAUCAUCAUCAUCAUCAUCAUCAUCAUUACAUCAUCAUCAUCAUCAUCAUCAUCCUUACAAUCAUCAUCAUCAUCAUCAUCAUUACAUCAUCAUCUCAAAAAUAAUGUUUUUUUAUCACUGAAAAAAGAGAAAAUAUAAUUAAAAAAUUACGUUCUUAAAAAUUACGAUUAAGUUCUAAAUUUUAACAUCACAUCAACUGAUUAUCUGAUAGAUAGAUAGACAGAUAGAUAGAUAGAUAGAUAGAUAGAGAGAAAGAGACAGACAGACAAACAGACAGAGAGAUAGAUAGAGAGAGAGAGAUAGGUAGAUAGGUAGAGAGAUAGGUAGAUAGAUAGAUACAUAGAUAGAGAGAAAGAGAGAGAUCGGUAGAUAGAUAGAGAGAAAGAGAGAGACAGGUAGAUAGAGAGAAAGAGAGAGAUAGGUAGAUAGAUAGAUAGAGAGAGAGAGAGAGAUAGGUAGAUAGAUAGAUAGAGAGAAAGAGAGAGAUAGGUAGACAGAUAGAGAGAGAGAGAGAUUGGUAGAUAGGGAGAGAAAGAGAGAGAUAGGUAGAUAGAUAGAUAGAGAG